rnacentral:rRNA from 1 species
UGGGGAAUAUUGCACAAUGGGCGCAAGCCUGAUGCAGCGACGCCGCGUGGGGGAUGACGGCCUUCGGGUCGUAAACUCCUUUCGCCAGGGACGAAGCGUUUUGUGACGGUACCUGGAGAAGAAGCACCGGCUAACUACGUGCCAGCAGCCGCGGUAAUACGUAGGGUGCAAGCGUUGUCCGGAAUUACUGGGCGUAAAGAGCUCGUAGGUGGUUUGUCACGUCGUCUGUGAAAUUCCACAGCUUAACUGUGGGCGUGCAGGCGAUACGGGCUGACUUGAGUACUGUAGGGGUAACUGGAAUUCCUGGUGUAGCGGUGAAAUGCGCAGAUAUCAGGAGGAACACCGAUGGCGAAGGCAGGUUACUGGGCAGUUACUGACGCUGAGGAGCGAAAGCAUGGGUAGCAAACAGGAUUAGAUACCCUGGUAGUCCAUGCCGUAAACGGUGGGCGCUAGGUGUAGGGACCUUUUGGGGUUUCUGUGCCGUAGCUAACGCAUUAAGCGCCCCGCCUGGGGAGUACGGCCGCAAGGCUA